rnacentral:rRNA from 1 species
GAUGAACGCUGGCGGCGUGCUUAACACAUGCAAGUCGAACGAUGAUGGGAGCUUGCUCCUGGAUUAGUGGCGAACGGGUGAGUAACACGUGAGUAACCUGCCCUUAACUCUGGGAUAAGCCUGGGAAACUGGGUCUAAUACCGGAUAUGACUCCUCAUCGCAUGGUGGGGGGUGGAAAGCUUUAUUGUGGUUUUGGAUGGACUCGCGGCCUAUCAGCUUGUUGGUGAGGUAAUGGCUUACCAAGGCGACGACGGGUAGCCGGCCUGAGAGGGUGACCAGCCACACUGGGACUGAGACACGGCCCAGACUCCUACGGGAGGCAGCAGUGGGGAAUAUUGCACAACGGGCGCAAGCCUGAUGCAGCGACGCCGCGUGAGGGAUGACGGCCUUCGGGUUGUAAACCUCUUUCAGUAGGGAAGAAGCGAAAGUGACGGUACCUGCAGAAGAAGCGCCGGCUAACUACGUGCCAGCAGCCGCGGUAAUACGUAGGGCGCAAGCGCUAUCCGGAAUUAUUGGGCGUAAAGAGCUCGUAGGCGGUUUGUCGCGUCUGCCGUGAAAGUCCGGGGCUCAACUCCGGAUCUGCGGUGGGUACGGGCAGACUAGAGUGAUGUAGGGGAGACUGGAAUUCCUGGUGUAGCGGUGAAAUGCGCAGAUAUCAGGAGGAACACCGAUGGCGAAGGCAGGUCUCUGGGCAU